rnacentral:rRNA from 1 species
UACGAAGGGGGCGAGCGUUGUUCGGAUUUACUGGGCGUAAAGGGCGCGCAGGCGGCCAUUCAAGUCAGGCGUGAAAGCCCCGGGCUCAACCUGGGAAUGGCCAUGGAAACUGGCGAACUGGAGUGUGGCAGAGGGGGGUGGAAUUCCGCGUGUAGCAGUGAAAUGCGUAGAGAUCCGGAGGAACACCGACGGCGUAGGCAGCGCCCUGGCUGUGAAUAAAGCUGACACUGAGGCACGAAAGCUGGGGGAGCAAACAGG